AAUACUAGGCCCAUCGUCUU
rnacentral:miRNA from 1 species